AUAUACAUGACAGAGAAGUCAGCCAUAAAGAAGCUAUGUAAACCGGAGCAACAGGAGACCACACUCCCUGGGAGGGUGUGACUACAUUCCAGGCCAGAUGACACCGCUGUCCUGCUUGUAGAUUUCAGCUGUUGUGACGAAUGUGGGCUAUGAACACAGAUUCCCACCGCCGCCCCCCAAGGCAGGGUCGCCUGUAUCCCAGCCUGGCUCAAACCUCAAGCUUGCUAAACAAGGAUGAUUCUGAAUUGCCUCCUGCCUGCAUCUCUCCAGUGCUGGGACUGCAGGCUCCAAAAAAGAAGCUGUCAAGGACCCACUGCAUGUGAUAGUGUACACACACUCUAUCACCCAUUUCUUAAUGGAACGUAGUCUACAUAUGGACAGGAUUUCAGCCCUGGAAGAAGAUAUCUUCAACAAAGAGUCUAGUCUUCAAGGAUAGCUGUUCAGCAUACUGAAGAUGGUGGAUGCAGUAAAAGUCAGUCGAUAAAGAUAAGCCUUUAAGGACAAUGAGGAUGAGACAAGCAGCAAAAUGCAAGUCUCCAGGUUCUGCAUGAACUCCAGAAACACCAUCAAGGAGACGGUUGUGGUCUUGGCUCUAGUCACCUGAGAUACAGGGAGCACUGGCUGCAACU